AAUGAACGUUGGCGGCGUGGAUUAGGCAUGCAAGUCGCGCGACAAGGAACCUUCGGGUUCUGGAGGAGCGGCAAAACGGGGUAGUAAGGCAUCGGAACGUACCCUCUUGUUGGGAAUAGCCGCGGGAAACUGCGAGUAAUGCCCAAUAAUCCCUACGGGGCAAAGGUCCGCCGCAGGAGGAGCGGCCGAUGUGAUACCAGCUAGUUGGUGAGGUAAUGGCUCACCAAGGCUUAGACGUCUAGGGGGUGUGAGAGCAUGGGCCCCCACCACUGGGACUGAGAUACUGCCCAGACACCUACGGUGGCGUGCAGUCGAGGAAUCUUCGGCAAUGGGCGCAAGCCUGACCGAGCAACGCCGCGUGC
rnacentral:rRNA from 1 species